rnacentral:rRNA from 1 species
UACGGAGGGGUCAAGCGUUGUCCGGAUUUAUUGGGCGUAAAGAGCGUGUAGGCGGCCUGGAAGGUCAGCUGUGAAAACUCGAGGCUCAACCUCGAGACGUCGGUUGAAACCACCUGGCUAGAGGCCGGAAGAGGAGAGUGGAAUUCCCGGUGUAGCGGUGAAAUGCGCAGAUAUCGGGAAGAACACCAGUGGCGAAGGCGGCUCUCUGGGACGGUACUGACGCUGAGACGCGAAAGCGUGGGGAGCGAACAGG